AAGAGGACCUGUGCGGAGCUGAAGACAGACGCCUCAAAUCGCGGGGGCACAGGGAGAGCGGUCAGAUGUCCUGCAGGCAGAACCCCAGGGGAACCACUCCCAGGGGUGAAACCGUGCUGACUCGGAGGUAGUGUGCCACUUGGAAGCAGUGGGACCGUCUGGUGGUAGAUGCUUCACUUCUUCAUUUAUGACUCCACAUUCGUGGAAGAGAGCAAAGAACAAACCUAUUUCUGAAAUGUUUCUGGCUUCCAUAUGCCUCUGGCUUUUAGGAAAGCACAAGUGGCCUGCUUGGGGUCCCUCCUGGCUUGCUGGACUUCCCGUCACUUUUUGCCUGUCGUCUUCCAUGGUUCCUGCAUGGAUCUUGUUGCCUCAGGACCAAGCUGCCUUUGCUUUUCCACAAUGUCCAUGACUAUGUGGGGAAGGAAAUGGACCCUCAUGCUGACAGCGCAUGUCCACGUUACUAGUUUCCUUUAGAAAACCAUCUCCAAUGGGCCAGGCACGGUGGCUCAUGACUGUAAUCCCAGCACUUUGGGAGGCCAAGGCUGGCAGAUCACAAGGUCAUGAAAUCGAGACCAGCCUGACCAACAUGGUGAAACCCCAUCUCUACUAAUAAUACAAGAAUUAGCUGGGCAUGGUGGCACGCACCUGUAAUCCCAGCUACUCAGGAGGCUGAGGCAGGAGAAUUGCUUGAACCCGGGAGGUGGAGGUUGCAGUGAGCCGAGAUUGCGCCACUGCACUCCAGCCUGGUUAGGGAGCGAGACUGGUCUCAGAAAAAAAAAAAAAAAAGAAAGAAAACCAUCUCCAACCUUAACUCCAGGGGCGCCAUUCAUACCCUGUUCUAUAGAACCUGCCCAAGGUGUGCUCCUGAAGAAAGGGAAGGUGCUGACCUAAUGGCUCCGAGAACAGUAUUUUUGAUAAAGUGCAGUCUCUCAGCAAGUGUCCUCAAAGUGCUGGCCUUGCUCAUGCAGUAGAGCUGGGAAAGCUUAUUUGGGACUUGGGUACCACAUAAGAAAUAAAGAGGGAAUGUCAUACUAGCAGGACUUUUGACAAAAAAAGCCUGGUAUGAGAGGCCCUGACACUAAUAUGAUUCCUAUUCUCACUCAAGUUAAUAGAUCAUUUAACCAAUAGCAAAAAGAACCGGAAGUGUCCUCCCAAAGAGUACACUAUGGAAAGGGUGGGGGGAUGGAGUACCUUUACAGUGGAGAAAAGUACCCUUACACCACCUCUGCAGGGGAUCUAGGUCAACAUCAGCAGUUACAAGUUACAUUGACAGCAUGUGGCCUUGAUAUGAUGUGAUGAGAAUGGCUCUUCACCCCUGUGGUCUUCCUCCACAAAACCCAUAGCCCCAGUUAAAUCAUGAAAAAAGCAUCAGACAGACCCCAAUUGUGACCAGCACUCCUCAAAAUUAUCAGGGUCCUCAAAAAAAGGAAAGUCUGAGAAACUGUCACAGUCAAGAGGAGCCUCAGGAGACAAUGAAAACUAAGUGUCAUGUGGAAGUUUGAACAGAAUCCUGGAACAGAAAAUGGACAUCAGGUAAAAACUAAGAAAAUCUAGAUAGUGUGGACUUCAGUGAAUAACAAUGUGUUGAUAUUGAUUCAUUAAUUGUGACAAAUCCACUACGCUAAUUGCCUUAGUCUGUUCAGGCUGCAAUAACAAAAUACCAUGGACUGAGUGGCUUAUACACAACAGAAAUUUAUUUCUCACAGUUCUGGAUGCUGGGAAGUCUAAGACCAAGGCACUGCCAGAUUUGGUGUCUGGUGAAGGUCCAUCUCCUGGUCCAAACAUGGCUCCUUCUCACUGUGUCUUCCCAUGGUGGAAGGGACAAGAAUUUCUAAUUCCACUCAUGAGUGCUCUGAUCCCAAGACCUAAUCACCUACCAAAGCCCCCACCUUCUGAUAGCAUUACCUUGGGGCUUAGGAUUUGAACAUAUGAACUGGGGAGGACUCUGGGGAAACACAUUUAAACCACAGCACUAAUGUAGGAUGUUAAUAAUAAAGGAAACUGGGUGUGGGGUUUAUGGAAACUCUCUUAACUUGGUAUGAGGUAUAUGCAAACUCUCUUUAAUAUCUUCAGAAUUUUCCUGUAAACUUUAACUUUAAUCUGAACUUCUAAAAAUUAUAGUUAUACACGCAUACACAGAGAGAGAGAGAGAGAGAGCGAGAGAGAGAGAGAGAGAGAGAGAGAAGUUAUACAUAGCCUUCGUGUUGCAGGUCUAGCCUACACUUCUAGCCUUAUUCCCCC
rnacentral:lncRNA from 1 species